CAAUAGUGUAUAUUAAAGUUGCUGCAGUUAAAAAGCUCGUAGUUGCAUUUCCGAGGCAAGGGAUUAGUCCGACCUUUGGUGGGUAUUUAAUCCUCCUGCCUCGUCCUUGAGUGGUGCUUCUUGGUAUUAAGUUAUCGAGGAGAUAGCCGCUCAUCGUUUACUGUGAGAAAAUUAGAGUGUUCAAAGCAGGCUUAUGCCGUUGAAUAUAUUAGCAUGGAAUAAUAAGAUAGGACCUCGGUACUAUUUUGCUGGUUUGAGAACCAAGGUAAUGAUGAAUAGGGACAGUUGGGGGUAUUCGUAUUCAGUUGUCAGAGGUGAAAUUCUUAGAUUUACGGAAGACGAACUACUGCGAAAGCAUUUACCAAGGAUGUUUUCAUUAA
rnacentral:rRNA from 1 species